GGAUCCAUAGCUCAACAAAGGGAGAGCGCUCGGCUGCGUGCUGAGAGGUUGGUGGUUCGAGUCCACCUGGAUUCC